rnacentral:lncRNA from 1 species
CCUGAAGAUGCUUUGGAACCUAACAGAGUUUGAGGCUGAGACAUUGAUUGAAGAUGACCAGAAAUAGCAUUGGGAAUGACCCCUUAGAAAUUCCUUCAGUUGGAAAAUGAAACUCCCAAAUUUAACACAUUUCAGUUCUAAAAAUGUUUUUCUUUUUCUUUUUUUUAAAUAUUCCAGAUUGAGAUCACAGGAAAACAGGCUUUCUACCAGAUUCUGAUGGCUACCACAGAAGUGAUAUAAGGGUCUGCCACUAUAGAUUUUCUUCACUCUUAGGAAUAAGCAGUUCUUCAGACUCAAGUGCCUGAACUUUCUGGCUGUCUGAACACAGUACUGCUUCCUUCUACACAUCAAGCUGUGCUGCAUAACUCGCAUCACUCACCUGCAUAGCACUG